CCCCAAAACCCCUUUUUUGGUUGAAGGGUUGUUAAUGGUGUAGAAAGAUUGAAUCUUUUUUUUGCAGAACAGAAAUGAAGAGCUCAAUGGAUCUUCUUGUUCUACUUCUUCUUAUUCCACAUUUACUAGCUUUUGCCUUUUCUGCUAAUGAAGAGGCGUUCAUUGGUGUAAACAUUGGAACUGAUGUCUCUGACAUGCCCAGUCCAGCUCAGGUGGUGGCUCUCCUCAAAGCACAGCAGAUUCGGCAUGUCAGGCUAUUUGAUGCUGACCAAGCUAUGCUACUUGCACUUGCUCAUACUGAAAUCCGCGUCACUGUUUCUGUACCAAAUGAUCAGCUCUUAGGAAUUGGUCAGUCGAAUUCCACUGCUGCCAAUUGGGUUUCCCGGAAUAUCCUCUCUCAUGUUCCUGCCACCAACAUCACAGCCAUCGCCAUUGGUUCUGAAGUCCUUACCACUCUUCCUAAUGCUGCUCCUCUCUUGGUCUCUGCCAUGAAAUUUAUUCACUCUGCCCUUGUUGCUGCUAAUCUUGACACUAAGAUUAAAGUCUCCACCCCUCAUUCAUCUUUUAUCAUCCUCGACUCAUUUCCACCCUCACAAGCUUUCUUCAAUCGAUCGUUAGAUCCUGUCAUGGUUCCGUUGCUCAAAUUUUUGCAGGACACCAGUUCCUAUUUCAUGCUCAACGUAUAUCCAUACUAUGAUUAUGUGAAAUCCAAUGGUGUGAUCGCAUUGGACUAUGUUCUCUUUCGCCCCCUCCCACCUAACAAGGAGGCUGUUGAUUCUAACACACUCCUCCACUAUACUAAUGUAUUUGAUGCUGUUGUUGAUGCAGCAUAUUUUUCUAUGUCCUACUUGAACUUCACUAACAUUCCCGUUGUGGUAACGGAGUCAGGUUGGCCAUCUAAGGGUGACUCCACUGAGCCGGAUGCUUCUCUUGACAAUGCUAAUACUUAUAAUAGUAACUUGAUUAGGCAUGUUCUUAACAACACCGGGACGCCCAAGCAUCCUGGGAUUGCAGUUAGUACGUACAUUUAUGAGCUUUACAACGAAGAUCUCAGACCUGGUUCUAUAUCUGAGAAGAACUGGGGGCUUUUUGAUUCCAAUGGAGUGCCAGUUUAUAUCAUGCACUUGACAGGAUCUGGAACGGUGUUGGCCAAUGACACCACAAACCAAACCUAUUGUGUUGCAAAGGAAAACGCGGAUAAAAAAAUGGUGCAAGCUGCACUGGAUUGGGCUUGUGGACCGGGGAAAGUUGACUGUACUCCUUUGUUGCAAGAAAAUCCUUGCUAUGACCCAAAUACUGUGUUUGCUCAUGCAUCAUAUGCUUUUGAUGCGUAUUAUCACAAGAUGGGCAUGGCCGACGGAACUUGCAACUUCAAUGGGGUUGCUAAAGUCACAACCACUGAUCCUAGUAAGUUGUCAAAACUAUGUUGUUAUUUUUUGCAAAUGCUCAUAUGUACAUGAAUUUGCUGACUCGAAUAUUUGAACCUAAGAUACAACAUCACAAGUGUCUUGUCCAGUUCUUUUCUUAAUUGUUUUCAACAUGGAAAACUAUCCAAAACAAGAGAUGACAUGCCUUAUGAACUGCUCUUAGGCCUAGUCUGUUUAAACUUUUCGGCUUGUUUGGCUUCGUGAUGCUUCCAAAAGUAUGGAUGCAAAGAUGUAUUUCUUCCAUGUCCAAUGCACAUACACAUGGUAGAGUGUUACGGAACUCAACAGGAAAACCUUU